UCAGAUUUAGAGGUCUACUUGUCCAGCUGCUGCAGUUUGGACAGAGACACCAGCAUCACCUACAGACCAACAAGUAUCACCACUUUGUCAAUGACAUCGUCCACAAUCGCAGAGACAUGGUCCAUGAUCGGAGAGACAUUGUUGAGGAUGAGGGAGAGAUCGUCCACGAUCAGAGACAUUGUCCAUGAUCGCAGAGACCUUGUCAAAGAUGAGAGAGACGUUGUCCAUGAUCAGAGACAUUGUCCAUGCUUCGUAGAGACCUUGCGAUAGAAUCGGCGGAGACGGGGGUCACCGAUUUGACGGCACUGCCCGCGAUCAGGGACAUUGUCAAUGACCAUAGAGACACCGUCUAUGAUCUCAGAGACAUCGUCCACGAUCACAAAGACAUAGUCCAUGAUCACAGAGACUUUGUCCAUAAUCUCAGAGACAUUGUCCGCGAUCACAGAGACGUAGUCCACGAUCACAGAGAUAUAGUCCAAGAUCACAGAGAGUCUUCGUACAAUGAAGAAAUUCUUUCAUACCAAGACAGAGACCUCCAGGUAUCACCACUUUGUCAAUGACAUCGUCCACAAUCGCAGAGACAUGGUCCAUGAUCGGAGAGACAUUGUUGAGGAUGAGGGAGACAUCGUCCACGAUCAGAGACAUUGUCCAUGAUCGCAGAGACCUUGUCAAAGAUGAGAGAGACGUUGUCCAUGAUCAGAGACAUUGUCCAUGCUUCGUAGAGACCUUGCGAUAGAAUCGGCGGAGACGGGGGUCACCGAUUUGACGGCACUGCCCGCGAUCAGGGACAUUGUCAAUGACCAUAGAGACACCGUCUAUGAUCUCAGAGACAUCGUCCACGAUCACAAAGACAUAGUCCAUGAUCACAGAGACUUUGUCCAUAAUCUCAGAGACAUUGUCCGCGAUCACAGAGACAUAGUCCACGAUCACAGAGAUAUAGUCCAAGAUCACAGAGAGUCUUCGUACAAUGAAGAAAUUCUUUCAUACCAAGACAGAGACCUCCAGGUAUCACCACUUUGUCAAUGACAUCGUCCACAAUCGCAGAGACAUGGUCCAUGAUCGGAGAGACAUUGUUGAGGAUGAGGGAGACAUCGUCCACGAUCAGAGACAUUGUCCAUGAUUGCAGAGACCUUGUCAAAGAUGAGAGAGACAUUGUCCAUGCUUCGUAGAGACCUUGCGAUAGAAUCGGCGGAGACGGGGGUCACCGAUUUGACGGCACUGCCCGCGAUCAGGGACAUUGUCAAUGGCCAUAGAGACACCGUCUAUGAUCUCAGAGACAUCGUCCACGAUCACAAAGACAUAGUCCAUGAUCACAGAGACUUUGUCCAUAAUCUCAGAGACAUUGUCCGCGAUCACAGAGACGUAGUCCACGAUCACAGAGAUAUAGUCCAAGAUCACAGAGAGUCUUCGUACAAUGAAGAAAUUCUUUCAUACCAAGACAGAGACCUC